rnacentral:tRNA from 1 species
GCCGGAGUGGCGGAACGGCUACGCAGCCGACUUAAGAUCGGUCGGGCCGCAAGGCCCUAUGGGGGUUCGAGUCCCUCCUCCGGCA